rnacentral:rRNA from 1 species
CCUACGGGGAGCUGCAGUGGGGGAUAUUGCACAAUGGGGGAAACCCUGAUGCAGCGACGCCGCGUGUGGGAAGACGGUCUUCUGGAUUGUAAACCACUGUCCCCAGGGACGAAAAUGACGGUACCUGGGGAGGAAGCUCCGGCUAACUACGUGCCAGCAGCCGCGGUAAUACGUAGGGAGCAAGCGUUGUCCGGAAUUACUGGGUGUAAAGGGAGCGUAGGCGGGGAUGCAAGUUGGGUGUCAAAACUACCGGCUCAACCGAUAGUCGCACUCAAAACUGCAGCUCUUGAGUGAAGUAGAGGCAGGCGGAAUUCCUAGUGUAGCGGUGAAAUGCGUAGAUAUUAGGAGGAACACCAGUGGCGAAGGCGGCCUGCUGGGCUUUUACUGACGCUGAGGCUCGAAAGUGUGGGGAGCAAACAGGAUUAGAUACCCUUGUAGUC